CCUGCUCAAUGUAAUCCCUAAAUAGCCGCAACUAGUGCUAAGGUAGCAUAAUAAAUUGCUCUUUAAUUAAGAGAUAGAAUGAAAGGAAGCACGAUUUAUUAAUUGUAUCUAUUCUACGCCAUAAAAUUAAAAUAAUCAGUAAAAAUCCUAUUAAAUAAUAAGCAGGACGACAAGACCCUAACGAACUUUAACUUCAUAUUUAAACUGGGAAGGUAAAAAACUAAAUCUUUUCCUUUCUCUAAAUAUACGCCAAAAUAGAAUAAAAUUAAGUUACCGUAGGGAUAACAGCAUAAUAAUUUCACAAAGCCCUUAUCCAACAAAUUGAUUAUGACCUCGAUGUUGAAUUAGCCCCCCCCGCUCAGAAAAAAGAGCGAAAGAAAGUCUGUUCGACUUUUUAACAGCUACAU
rnacentral:rRNA from 1 species